AUACAUACCUGGGCGGGUCAAUCGAUGAACAAGAAGGCUCAUGGCCUAGAGGGACUGCUUCCAUUGCACCAGGGAGGUGGGUCACUAUAGCUAGCAUCUCCCCGAGGGGGGGACUGCACGUCAUAAUUUGUGGCUGGUGGGUACGCAUUCGCGCGUCCCCCAC
rnacentral:snRNA from 1 species